rnacentral:rRNA from 2 species
GUAACAGCUCACUGGUCUAGUGAUUCUGCGCGGAAAAUAUAACGGGGCUAAGAUGUACACCGAAGCUUUAGAUUCAAUUUUUAAUUGAGUGGUAGGAGAGCGUUCUAUUCAGCGUAGAAGAUGUACCGGUAAGGAGCGUUGGAGCGGAUAGAAGUGAGCAUGCAGGCAUGAGUAGCGAUAAUUGAGGUGAGAAUCCUCAACGCCGAAAACCCAAGGUUUCCUACGCGAUGCUCGUCAUCGUAGGGUUAGUCGGGACCUAAGUCGAGUCCGAAAGGGGUAGACGAUGGCAAAUUGAUUAAUAUUUCAAUACCAACAUAUAAGCGCGAUGUGGGGACGCAUAGAGUUAAUCGAGGUCACUGAUGGAAUAGUGGCUCGAAGGACGUAGGCUGUUAAGUAGGCAAAUCCGCUUAACAUUAGGCCGAGAUCUUACAGGCUCUUGACACUCUUCGGAGGAGAUGGAGAAUCGAUGAUACUGUCGUGCCAAGAAAAGCCACUAAGUUUAUUAUAUGUUGCCCGUACCGUAAACCGACACAGGUGGGUGGGAUGAGUAUNCUAAGGCGCGUGGAAGAACCCUGGUUAAGGAACUCUGCAAACUAGCACCGUAUCUUCGGUAUAAGGUGUGCCUACUUUUGUAUAUGAACUUGCUUCAAAAAGCGAAAGAGGUUGCAACAAAGAGUCCCUCCCGACUGUUUACCAAAAACACAGCACUUUGCUAACACGUAAGUGGAUGUAUAAGGUGUGACGCCUGCCCGGUGCUCGAAGGUUAACUGAUGAUGUCAGCGCAAGCGAAGCAUUUGAUUGAAGCCCGAGUAAACGGCGGCCGUAACUAUAA